UACGUAGGGUGCAAGCGUUGUCCGGAAUUAUUGGGCGUAAAGAGCUCGUAGGCGGUCUGUCGCGUCUGCUGUGAAACCUCGGGGCUUAACCCCGGGCCUGCAGUGGGUACGGGCAGACUAGAGUGCGGUAGGGGAGACUGGAAUUCCUGGUGUAGCGGUGAAAUGCGCAGAUAUCAGGAGGAACACCGGUGGCGAAGGCGGGUCUCUGGGCCGUAACUGACGCUGAGGAGCGAAAGCAUGGGGAGCGAACAGG
rnacentral:rRNA from 1 species